CAGUUUAGAUCAGUGGAUGGUUUGUGUCACAGGUGGCUGUUUGGGUCUUUAUGGGUUAAAAAAAAACAAAAAAAAUGUAAAAGUUGGGUCUUUAUGGGUUAAAGGAUGACCUCUUAAUUCCAGUUUAAUGCUAGAGACCACAUGUUCUGACUAAUCUUUGCUUUUAUCACCUGAAUUCUCUCUUUCUCCCAGAGUCUUGAUUGAUCGAUGACCUCUUGGCUUCGCUGAUUCCGAUCUGAUCUGUGUAUUUUAAACAUCGUUGUGUAACUGUUAAGAGGUAGUUCUGCCCCCCCCCCCCAAAGAUGAAGACGAAGCAAAGCAAAAAAAAAAUACUUGAGGAAAAAACUACCUAAUUUUAGCAAGAGGUCAUCCCUGAAAACCAGAUCUGCUUUUAGGCUUCCCCUCUGAGCUAAAUGUUCUUAGUGUUUCUGUGUCAUAAAUGUACUGUAUUAUCUUUUUUUUCUUAUUUUUUUAAUCUUUCAGUGAUUCGUUUGUCGUCCACACACUACCGUAUGCAGUAUUCCUACCAAUUCAAGUCAAACACUUAAACAACCAGAGGGAGUCCUGUCUAUCUGCCAUAUGCCAUCUUCUGUCCUGGAGUCAACAGUUAUCAGUGGGUUGCAGUAUUUUUCUCAUUGUAGCCAAUUUUCUUGUACGUUUUAUGCAACUUUCACAUGGAUGUUUAUGACUUUAUCUGCUGCCACAAAAAUUUAGAAAUUCUGUAGAUAGAGAUUACUGUGCAAUGGAAAAUAAAAGUGGAAAAUGUA